GACAGAGGGUGCAAACGUUGUUCGGAAUUACUGGGCGUAAAGCGAGUGUAGGCGGUGUGGUAAGUCGGAUGUGAAAGCCCCGGGCUCAACCCGGGAAGUGCACUCGAUACUGCCACGCUAGAGUAUCGGAGAGGUUGGUGGAAUUCUCGGUGUAGAGGUGAAAUUCGUAGAUAUUGAGAGGAACACCGGUGGCGAAGGCGGCCAACUGGACGAAUACUGACGCUGAGACUCGAAAGCGUGGGGAGCAAACAGG
rnacentral:rRNA from 1 species